rnacentral:misc_RNA from 1 species
AAACAAUUCUGUAGAAAGUGAGAAGAAUCCAAGAGAAUGGAGGCUGCAUGUUUUUUCUUCCCCUGUUGCAUAUUGAAUUUAUAGCUUGACAUGAGAAGUAGAACGGUUUCCUUCAGCUGUUCUUUUAAUUUUCCUAUGAGAGUUCAAAGGAACUUAGCCCCACUAUAGAUUGUUAUUUGUUCAUUUCUUCUAUUCUUUUGUUUCCUUCAACUCUUGAAGCAAUCUAGUGUAAUGAUAAUUUCCAUAUUUCAGUUUCCACUCAGUUUGGCAUGAUAUUUUCCUCUUUAAUUGUUUACUGUUUAAUCAGUUCUCAUCUCCUUGGUUAUUAUGAUUGUCCAAUGUGUAAUUUUAAUUUCAAUUUCAACUCCAAUUCCAAUUCCUAUUUUAUUUUGUUAUCAAUCAAUAAUUAUUUUGCUAUUAAGCGAUUCAUUUGCCUGUUUGAUGUCAAAUUUUC